rnacentral:lncRNA from 1 species
UACUUUUUUAACCUUAGCACACAAAAUGGAUAUGGUUGAAAGUCAAAUGACAGUGUGCCACCAGGUAAUGUGUCUAGGUUGUAACUGCCUUUGUGCUUUAUACAUAGGCACUCCAACAUCAGAAGGAAAUAAAAGCUCACCACAGUCCCCGGCAAUUUAAAAAUUCCAUCUCUGUGCUUAUGAACCAUCUAUUAAUAAAUGAACCUUUAUAAUAAUGUCUGAUAGAAAAAUUCAUUUACAAAUGAAUUUAUAGUAAUAAAGUAUGUUACCUAAUUAAAGAGACUUUUGCAAAUCACUUGCUAAAUAAGUUGAUCAGACUCCAGAGAAAUAGAACUGAAGACUCUUGGAAGCAUCUGAUAAUAUGCCAAGGAACACCGAGGAAACUGUGGGGAAAAAAAUCUGCAAUCUAAUAGGCUUCAGAAGUGCUGAUUAGUAAUAGGCAAAAAUGGUCAACUACUAAAAUUGUCCUAUAAUCCCAAACACAAUUUAGAAAAAUAAAGUCUCAUAUACAUUGCAUUUUCAUUUUGUAUUGUUUAUGACAUUCCUGGCAAAAAAAAUUUGAGGUGAUAUAUCCUUUUACAAAUCUUACUUUGAUAGAAGUGUUCAAUUUCGUAGUAUGACUUUUACAUAUUUAUAUAAAUUGUUUUGCAUUAGUACAUGUGCUCAGAAUCUAUACUUAAGGGCUGGUAACAUUUCUGUUAAAUAUCUUUUUAUAUCUUU